ACAAGGAGAGCGCCAGGAAGGCUUCUGCUGACUGGCUUUAGAGAUUGAUCAUGAUGAAUAAUGCGAUUCUUCAAGUUAAAACAACCUCGUGGGUGAGUUUCUCUUUGUCUUUUCUGUACUAAACUCAAGGGAUCUUUUUUAUUUAAGGGCCAAUGAGAUUCCUAACAUCCAAUCCUGGAAGAUGCCUGGAAACCUGUGCCCUUUGUCAGCCUCGUGAAUUCAUAAUAGCAUGCUGCUGAGAUGCUAGUCAGCACACUGUUUUAUGGAUUUCAAAUAAAUGUAGCAGUUGACAGAUUUCUGAAGGUAGGCAAUGGUUAAGUUUUGAUAGGAACUAGUUUAUAAGAUCAAAACAAAAAGGUUGAUUCUGUCUAAUGCAUGAAUGAAUAUAUGUAGUCUGAUCUCUUUCCAUUUAGGAAUAAUCUUUUAGGAAGUUUUUGUCUUUAUGCCACAUUUAAAUAACACGUAACCCUCCUUCCCAAAUGCAACUAUGCAAAAUGAGCAUGCAGUAAUAUACUAUUAAAGGAUGUUGUAAUCUAUUAAUUUUUUUUGUGAUGAGUAGAACAUAUUAAUAAUGUGUAUAAUUUAAAAGGAAAAUUCCAAAUACUAUAGACUUAUUGUCAGCAUCACUCAAUACACAGGUGGCAGAAUGAAGUAUCUGAUGACCUUCUCACACUUAUUUCCCUUCCCUUCUCACCCUUGAUGAGAUGAUGAUCUUUGGUAAGACACAGUAAACUGACAAAGACUGUUACCAUGAAAGCAUUAAAGAUUUUCUAUGAAUAUUUGUGAAAUAAAGGCUUAUUUUGCGGAUUUGUUACUCUGAAUAAUCUAAACACUGUAAACUCACUCCGAGGAAUAUUGUGAAAAGCUACGGGCCCUUUCUGAUAAAGCAGAAAAUGAAGAAAAGAGCAGAGGAGUUAGAAAAGACCUGGAGAAAUAUAAGAAUGAACCCCACUCUGCUAAAACAAAUGCCACAGAAGACACAUUUUUGAAACAAAUAAAUGGGGUAAAGAGAAUUUUUCAUAAUAUAAAAGUAAUUCUUGAUUAUACAGAAUUAAUAACAGAUUUCUAUUGAAUAAAGAAGUCCCCAGGUGCAUUCAAAAUGAUUACUUUUCUCAUCAUUUAAUUCUUGCAAUUUGCAGGUCCUAAGAUGAGCUAUCUGUAAAUAUAAGAGUUUAUUAAAUAGGAUAUACAAAUAAAAUUCUUUGGUAUAUAUGCUGGUUAAAAUUUUAUGAAAUGUUCCAAAUUCUAAAAUUCUAAUAUUUUCAUGUUUUUCUGUAACAGUGAUAUUCUAGAGUUCCCUAAAUUCUGAGUACCACAUAAAAUUGCAUUUGAUUAAAUCGGUUUUCCUUGAUGGAAGAGAACAUCAUUUAAACGUUUGUGAUUUCUGACCUAUGGUUGCUCUCUGCUAAAUGUGAUUCAAAGGUCAAGACCAACUUAAAGCCAUGGAACACAGCACAAAUUCAUUAUCCAUUUUAAUUCCUGUAGUGACACAGUUAAGAUCCCAUGAAUAUCUGUAUCUCUCACCCAGAACUGUGAAGGAAAUCCAUCUCUCUGAUGUUGCCAAACCAUUCAGGCCUCCAUCAAUGAGAUUGCAGAGGCCUUCAAGGUUCACAAUAUUCACCAAGACAUCUAUGGAAAUACGCUAUUGCUUUCCUACGAUGCAAAUACAGAUCACACAAGAAGGAAAAGUUCCAUGUAUUUCUCACCACUAAAUGAAGCCGUUAAUAUAUGUCUUAACUCCAUGAACUAUGCAGCUUCCAAAACAACCAAGAAAAGGAGCCAACAAGUAGGAUUCGUUAUGUAAGUUCAUGAACUUUCUCCACUGGAAGGGGUUUUGGAAUUAAUUCAGCAAAGCCCCUUGUUUUAGAAUUAAGGUAAGUGAAGAUCAGAAAAUUUAAGUGACUCAAGAUUGCACAGCUCGUUAGAGGCAGAGCCAGGACAAAAGCUCAGGACUCCUGACUUCAGUCUAACCCACUAUACCAAUAAUUAGUUGCUAAGACAAUUUUGUAUUCCUAAGAUGUCUUUAGGUAUUAAAAGUCAACUACAAGAAGUGUAUAUUUCCCUAGACCAUGCAUUCUCAACAAGGGCUAUAUCACCCCCAGAGGCAUGAACAUGGGUUCUUGCGGAUCAAAAAAAUCUUAUAUGAGGGACCAGCCCAGUGGUGCAGUGAUUAAGUUUGCAUGCUCCUCUUCGGCGGCCUGGGGUUCACGGGUUCAGAUCCCGGGCACGGACUGACACACCACUCAUCAAGCUAUGCUGUGGUGGUGACCCAUAUACAAAAUAAAGGAAGAUUGGCACAGAUGUUAGUUCAGCAACAAUCUUCCUCAAGCAAAAAUAGGAAGACUGGCAACAGAUGUUAGCUCAGGAUCAAUCUGCCUCACCAAAAAACAAAAAAAGCCCCUUAAAUGUUAGAUAUUACAAUUGUCACAAUUGUUUGUAGUCUUCCUAAGGGCCACAGUAUCUAAUCAGAUAUGCAACUUGUCUAUGGCAUCCAAGUUUCAGGGUGAGGGAGCUGUGAGGUGGGAGAAGGAAGGGUUAGGAAAAGAACGUCUAGAAAAGUUCUUUCGGGGCAACAACUGUUAAAAAGUUGAGAAAGACUGCCCUGGACCAAAGUCCACGGUCAGGAUCUUAGGGAACUUGCCAAAACGUUGGCUGAGUACAAGUGCUGGAGGCUCAAUUCGUUUUUAGAGUUAAACCAGUAAGCUGGGAUCCAGAAGCAUGCUUUGCUGUUCUCAUCCAGUUUUGGUGACCUAUUAUGAAGCAUAAAAAUCUGCUUUUUAUAGUGCCAAACUCAGCUCUUCGUCAUCGUAUAACUAGAGGAUAAAUAAGAUGGAAGUUACACUGCGUGCUCAAUAUUAUUAGCAAGGUAAGUAUAGGGUGCUGUGGGAAUUCAAGAAAAGUGCUGAGUGUAAAGGAAAAUACUGAGAAAGUGCUCAGGAUCUAAACCCUACUUCUGUCCCUUAACACUUAUCAGAAAGUUUUUCUACUGAGGUUGUCCAAGUUUCUAUUUCGUCAACUAUAAAUUUAGAGUUAUCUGCCUCACAUGAUUUGCGGAGAAAUAAAAGUAAUAAUAUAUGUACAGCAAUAAACCUGAAAUAUAGUAGUCACCAAAUAAAUAACAUGUAUCAUUAUUAUUAUUACUUGUUAAGACCUUCAGAAGCCAUUAGACCUAGACUGGUUCUAUGUCAAUUUAUUCAGUAGGCAAUUUGUUCUUGGAGUCUUUCUUAUCUCCUCUUUUGAAAAACUCCCCCCUUUGUUUUUGCCCCUUCCCACUUUCGUUCUUCUUGCACUCUUGACACCCCCUAUCUCUGCCUUUGGCUCCCUCGUGCUCUCUUAGCUGAGAUCCAGUUCUGCCUGCAUGGGGAUACCUCGGCCAAACUCAGCUGUUAUGAUUCUGCAUGAGCAUCACCAUCACCUUUUAUUUCUACCCUCCCAUCCCCAAAAGGAUAGAGAUAGCUCACUGAUUUAUGUCUGCCCCAUAAGACCCUUAACUCCUUGAGGGCAGAGAUUCAUUUAUUCAACUUUUCCAGCCAUUAUUCUACAGCUGUAAACAGAAAAAACAGAAUCCUGCACUUAUGGAAUCUGUAUUCCCUUAGGGUAGAAAGACAGUAUGUAAACAAGUGAGCCAUAGUGUUUACUAGUGGUAAAUGCUAAGGAGAAAAAUAAAGUAAUGAAGAGGGAUAGUAAGUACAGGAAGGAGUAUAAUUUUAGUAAGGUGGCCAACUGAAGUUCCCCCCAAAAAAUGGCAUUUGAGAAUAAGAUCAGAAAGAAGUAAGGGGUUUUGUCAUGGAGAUAUUUAGGGGAAGAAUCCUAUCCUGAGAGCUGAGAGGUGCAUUUCCACGGCUGCCACAGGCCCAGGCAUGUAGGGCCACAUAGACCCUGGCUUUUACUCUGAGAGAAAUAGAAUCAUGUCUUAUGCUUCUUAAUACUGCAAGUAUUGGGCUCAGUGCCUAAAACAUGCUAGGCAUUGAGUAAAUGACUGAUGACUGUAUCAACUCAUUCAACACCACAUGUACACACUUACACCAAUUAAAUGAUAGACAAAGACUGGCUUUGUGAUGUCCAAUUUAGAUGGGUACCAUCUAGGAUAAACCUGAAAACACAGAAUCCACUGCAGACAAUAUAAUUUGAAGAAAUCAUAGCAAAAUAUAUGGCUUUAUACCUGUCAGUUCUGUGCAAAUAGACAAUAACUACAGAUUUGGUGAGGAAGCUGGGGAGAGGAGUAGGCAGGGUAAAGUGGAAAAAGUAUUAGGAGGACCCUCAGACAAUUGGAUAGCAACUAGAGUUGGCAGACUUAGCAAAUAAAUAAAUAAUUCUGGACUCCCAGGUAAGUUUGUAUUUCAGAUAAAUAAUGAAUAAUUUUCUAGCAUAAGUAUGUCCCAUUAAUAUUUAACUGGGUGUUCAGUUUUUUUGGGGUUUUUUUGUUUUUUGUUUUUUGUUUUUGGAGAAGGAGAUUGGCCCUGAGCUAACGUUUGUUGCCGGUCUUCCUCUAUUUUGUACAUGGGAUGCCACCACAGCAUGGCUUGAUGGUAUGCAGGUCCGCACCUGGGAUCCAAACCUGUGAACCCUGGACCGCAGAAGCAGAGCUCGUGAACCUAACCACUAUGUCUCCAGGCUGACCCCAGGGUGUUCAGUAUUUUAUCUGGAAAGCCUACCUCCAACAGACAAGUGUUAAGUGGAACCCCCACGUCAAGACUGAAUUCUCAACAUGGCCUGACUGCUGUGAGUUCUCAUCCAGCAGUUUGGUUGAAAUGAUACAUGGAAUGUGAGUCAAAAUAAUGGAACUUCUAGGUACAAUUUUUGUUGUAUAUAUUUUACAUUGCAUACAAUAUAUUAGUGUAGUAGCAUAUCUACAUAUGUAGUUUAUAUAUAAUUUACAAAUAAACACUUAUUGGAACUGAACUGUCAAACAUUUAUUCCUGAUAGGGGAGAGGAAUCAAAAAGAGUUAUCAAUAGAUGAGCAGCAUUGCGACAAAGAGCUUCUAUUCCUUUUCCCUUUAACAACAAAGAAAAGAUAUUCAAAUCAGGAAAAUCCUUAUAUGCUUGGUAAAAAUGUCACUAAGCUAUUUAGUUUGGGGAAUUUGUGAAAUUAACCAGAUGUGCUGAAAUAUACUUUCUUGUUGCAAAAUAGCUGGUAAUCCACUAGGAUAAAUCGCUGUGAGGUAAUCACAUUCGAACAAUUCAUUUGGUGCAUUCUUCUUCUUACUUAGGGAAAAAAAGAAAUUUGCUUGGACUUGAUCCUUGCACUUCACAGGAUCAGUCAUACUUUGUUGAUUUGUUCCAACAAUUGCCCGCCCAUUAAAUUUGAAAAGAUAAAAAGUGGAAAAAAUAUAAGAAGCCACAAAACACCCCUUCUCUGUGGAGUGACAGCAUUGUAAUACCACAGAAUCUAGAGACAGAUGGUGGCUUAUAGCAGACAUCAAUCUUCAAUGAGAGUAAAUUUCGGAUAAUGCCCCUCUUUGGUAAUGGACAUGUCUUUGCAAAGUUAUUGCUGACAGCAUCCUCUAACGUGCUGAUUUGCUAAGACAAGGUUUUUAUUGCAUCUAAUCUUGUCGUGAGGCAUGAAAAGAGUGGCUGGGUACAUGUUUUUCAUGUAUAGUUUUUACAAGAAUUGCCUGCAUUAGAGAGUGGCUAAAUUGUUUUCCAUAUUUUAUGGCACAUUUCAAAUGUUCCGCCACACACAACAUUGAUCACUCAGUCCAUUAGCUUAUUAUGAUAUCCUGAAAGGAGACACUUCCCUUGGGAAAAGCCAUAAUUUGAAAUGAGAUGAAGGCUCUGACUCCCUAGGACAGAGUGGGGUGGGAUCUACUGAGCAACUGCUUAAUUUCCUCAAGGGAAAUAGCCAGUUAAAUAUAUAUAGAAAUGUAAAUACACACAUAUAUUUUUCAAAAUGUCUGACCUAUUCAAAUCUACUUUGUCUUCUGAGGGACUUGGACACUUUCCAGCAGCUCAAACUGGCUUCAGUAAGGAUGGGGCAGCUUUUACAAUACAAAACUUUUUCAUAAUUAUGGGAAAUACUCAUGGCAUUAUCAGGGUUCUAAUAGAAAAAAUAGAGGGACUUUAAUAUAGGGGUUUGUUAACACAGGUUGUAGAAGAGCUGAAAAAACGCACAAGACCAUGGAGCAUCCCAGAGAUCAGCAACAACAGAAAGUGCCACCACCACCAGGUGGUUCUGACGGAUCCAGGGCCAUUCACUGGGGCUAGACCCAUUCUGGGGUUGUCUUUGGGAGCUGGGCCCAUGAAAGGAAGAGUUUUCCAAUGGACCUGGAAUCACCGUGGAGGUAUAGCCCCUGAAGGAGACACCAUGGAACAGAAAGCGAGAACAUACCGGGUUCCCCCUUCUUUCUACCCUCUGGUUUCCAACAGUUGCCCCCUUUGGCAAGGAAGCCUUGUAAAUGCAGUUCCCAGAAAUGCAGAACAAAGUAGAAGGGCAGGGAACAAAGCUAGGAGCCAACAGAUAAAUAAAUAACUUGGACAAAAUUAAAGCAGCUUCAUUUCUUUAGCACUUCGUUUAGUAUGUUACUGAGCACUGUAAACUCUAUCCUACACAUAAAGACACAAUUUUUCCCAAGCUAAGUAAACUUUGAAAUCUUUGUCCAUAGGAGUAAGGAUCGAAGUGGCCAUUGGGGACAUCAAAGCAAAGCGUUUCUCAGAACAUUUCAAAAAUUGCUGUGAGAUGGCUACUCAGGCUCCUAAUGGCAUUUGUGUUUCAGGAAAUGUAACUGAAUGGGAAAAUGGUGGAUGCCCCAUUGCAUUCUGCACUUCGUCUGUGUCAGAAUCUUAUGCUAGGUGCUUCCGCGUGUUUCACUUCAUCUUCAGAGUGGCCUAAAAGAGGAAUUCAUAUCUCUUGUGGGGAUAUAAGCUUUGAUAUCUUUAUCUACCUCUGAAAACCCCAAAUGAUGUCCUCCCUGUAGGACGUCCUUUGCAUCUGCUGUUGAGAUAUAAAAUCCUAGGGGAAGGGACUGAUGAAGAUCUGUUCAAUGGAAAGGAGCAAGCAGUGGCCACUUUAAGACCCCUGGGUCCUAGAAGCCAACAGUGCUUCAGUCUACUUCAUCUAUGAGAACUACCUCAUUAUUUGCAUCCAGGAAUGUCUGUGGAGAAAAUCUGCUCAUAUCUUGGUAAAUGUAUUCUUUUUUCUUUCUUUUUUUUUUGAUAUUUUUUUCUGAGUUUCCAGUGGACAAAUAAUUCAGUAUUGUCUAAUGGAUUGUAGAGCAGUCUUUGCUUUCAAUAUAGUUAUUUUCAGAAUCUCAUUUUAUCUAAUAUUUUAACUGCCUUAUGUCAUAGAGGUAUAUUAUUUGCUUAUUUCAAAUGACCAUAGGGCUCUAUUUCUU
ensembl:lncRNA